rnacentral:misc_RNA from 1 species
AGAGAAUAAGGUGAAAUAAGCAAGUACAUGUAAACAAAUAAAGCAUCCAGGAGCUUGAAGUCAAGUGAGAACAAAAUAAUAGUAAUUGCUGACAAUAUGAAACUACAAAGUGAGAUAAGUCUCUUGGCUCUUACUCUCAUUUUUUUCCUCCUCAUCAAAUUUACAACGGAAUCAAUUGACAUUCUGGAAAUUAAUCUCCAAGUUGGAGAUGUGAGAAAUCUUGGGCCAAUCUUCCCCUUCCUCUUGUUGACAUCUUUU